rnacentral:rRNA from 1 species
GACGACGCUGGCGGGCGUGCCUAACACAUGCAAGUCGAGCGGGGUUGAGGCGAGAGGUAACUCGAACUUCUACCUAGCGGCGGACGGGUGAGUAACGCGUGGGCAACCUGCCUCAAGGUUUGGGAUAACAGCCCGAAAGGGCUGCUAAUACCGGAUAUGCCUAUGGCCUCGCAUGGGGCUAUGAGCAAAGGGGAAACCCGCCUUGAGAUGGGCCCGCGUCCCAUCAGCUAGGUUGGUGAGGUAACAGCUCACCAAGGCGACGACGGGUAGCCGGCCUGAGAGGGUGACCGGCCACACUGGGACUGAGACACGGCCCAGACUCCUACGGGGGGCAGCAGUGGGGGAUCUUGCACAAUGGGCGAAAGCCUGAUGCAGCGACGCCGCGUGAGCGAAGAAGGCCUUCGGGUUGUAAAGCUCUGUCUGGAGGGACGAAGAAAGUGACGGUACCUCCGGAGGAAGCCACGGCUAACUACGUG